GAGUUUGAUCAUGGCUCAGGAUGAACGCUGGCGAGAUGCUUUACACGUGCAAGUCGUACGAGAGUUUUUAACUCAAGUGGCGGACGAGUGAGUAACACGUAAGAAUUUACCUCUAGGAGGGGGACAACAGUUGGAAACGGCUGCUAAUACCCCAUAUGCUUUCGAGUGAAAUGGAUUUUUCCGCCUAGAGAGAAGCUUGCGGCUGAUUAGCUUGUUGGUGAGGUAAUGGCUUACCAAGGCGACGAUCAGUAUCUGGUUUGAGAGGACGAUCAGACACACUGGAACUGAGACACGGUCCAGACUCCUACGGGAGGCAGCAGUGGGGAAUUUUCCGCAAUGGGCGAAAGCCUGACGGAGCAAUCUCGCGUGAGGGAUGACUGCCUAUGGGUUGUAAACCUCUUUUUUCAGGGAGGAAUUAAUGACGUUACCUGAAGAAUAAGCAUCAGCUAACUCCGUGCCAGCAGCCGCGGUAAGACGGAGGAUGCAAGUGUUAUCCGGAAUCACUGGGCGUAAAGCGUCUGUAGGUGGUUUAGUAAGUCAACUGUUAAAUCUUGAAGCUUAACUUCAAAAUCGCAGUCGAAACUAUUAGACUAGAGUAUA
rnacentral:rRNA from 1 species